AGGAAGGAAAGCUUGCUUUUCUGAAUCUAGUGGCGAACGGGUGAGUAACACGUAGGUAACCUGCCUGAUAGCGGGGGAUAACUAUUGGAAACGAUAGCUAAUACCGCAUAAGAGGAGUUAACUCAUGUUAACUGUUUAAAAGAAGCCAUUGCUUCACUAUCAGAUGGACCUGCGUUGUAUUAGCUAGUAGGUAGGGUAACGGCCUACCUAGGCAACGAUACAUAGCCGACCUGAGAGGGUGAACGGCCACACUGGGACUGAGACACGGCCCAGACUCC
rnacentral:rRNA from 1 species